rnacentral:misc_RNA from 1 species
GAUGAAGAACGCAGCGAAAUGCGAUAAGUAAUGUGAAUUGCAGAAUUCAGUGAAUCAUCGAAUCUUUGAACGCACAUUGCGCCCGCCAGCAUUCUGGCGGGCAUGCCUGUUCGAGCGUCAUUUCAACCCUCGCAGCCCAUCUGGGCAGCGGUGUUGGGGACCGGCACCACCGGCGAAGCCCUUAGGGGCCCAGCCGGCGCCGCCCCCGAAAUACAGUGGCGGUCUCGCUGCAGCCUCCCUUGCGUAGUAGCACACCUCGCACCGGANNGCAGCGCGGCCACGCCGUAAAACCCCCGACUUUCUGAGUUUGACCUCGAAUCAGGUAGGAAUACCCGCUGAACUUAAGCAUAUCAAUAAGCGGAGGA